GACGAACGCUGGCGGCGUGCCUAAUACAUGCAAGUCGAACGCAGUGGGGACGGGUGAGUGACAAGUGGGUAACCUCCCAUCAGAGGGGAUAACACUUGGAAACAGGUGCUAAACCGAUACUGAUGGAUGGACCCGCGGGGCAUUAGCUAGUUGGUGGGGUAACGGCUCACCAAGGCCACGAUGCAUAGCCGGCCUGAGAGGGUGAUCGGCCACACUGGGACUGAGACACGGCCCAGACUCCUACGGGAGGCAGCAGUAGGGAAUCUUCGGCAAUGGGCGAAAGGCUGACCGAGCAACGCCGCGUGAGUGAAGAAGGUUUUCGGAUCGUAAAGCUCUGUUGUUAGAGAGGCGUUAUCUAACCAGGAAGCCCCGGCUAACUCCGUGCCAGCAGCCGCGGUAAUUC
rnacentral:rRNA from 1 species